GGAUGUGAUCAUACCAGCACUAAAGUACCGGAUCCCAUCAGAACUCCGAAGUUAAGCGUGCUUGGUCUAGAGUAGUACUAGGAUGGGUGACCUCCUGGGAAGUCCUCGUGUUCCAUUCC
rnacentral:rRNA from 1 species